AAAAGGAAUUGUGGUUUUUGCCAUUUAAAAGUAAUGGCAAAAACUGCAAUUACUUU
rnacentral:miRNA from 1 species